UACGGAGGAUCCAAGCGUUAUCCGGAUUUAUUGGGUUUAAAGGGUGCGUAGGCGGCCUAUUAAGUCAGGGGUGAAAGACGGUGGCUCAACCAUCGCAGUGCCUUUGAUACUGAUGGGCUUGAAUGAACUAGAGGUAGGCGGAAUGUGACAAGUAGCGGUGAAAUGCAUAGAUAUGUCACAGAACACCGAUUGCGAAGGCAGCUUACUAUGGUUUAAUUGACGCUGAGGCACGAAAGCGUGGGGAUCGAACAGG
rnacentral:rRNA from 1 species